rnacentral:tRNA from 1 species
UACGAGCGUAGCUCAACUGGUAGAGCACCGGUCUCCAAAACCGGGGGUUGGGGGUUCGAUUCCCUCCGCUCGUGU